ACAUGGAUAACUGCGGUAAUUCUGGAGCUAAUACAUGCAGGAAGAACGCAUUUAUUAGAUCAAAACCAAUUCUGGUGAAUCUGAAUAACUUUAGGUUCUAUACCGGCGACAAGUCCUUCAAGUGUCUGCCUUAUCAACUUUCGAUGGUAGUUUUCAUGCCUACCAUGGUGACGACGGGUAACGGAGAAUUAGGGUUCGACUCCGGAGAGGGAGCCUGAGAAACGGCUACCACUUCUAAGGAAGGCAGCAGGCGCGCAAAUUACCCACUCUCGGAGAGGAGGUAGUGACGAAAAAUAACGAGAUAACCCGCUCUAUCAUUGGAAUGAGUACAAUCUAAAUCCUUUAACGAGGACCUAGCGGAGGGCAAGUCUGGUGCCAGCAGCCGCGGUAAUUCCAGCUCCGCCAGUGUAUAUCUAUGCUGCUGCGGUUAAAAAGCUCGUAGUUGGAUCUUCCCAGAAACUGGUCCACCUUUGUGGUGUGCCGUCGGUUUUCUCCUGGUGCCCUUAAUCGGGUGUCUUGAGUGACUGACAUGUUUACUUUGAAAAAAUUAGAGUGCUCAAAACAAGCGUCUCGCUUGAAUAUUCGUGCAUGGAAUAAUAGAAUAGGCGGUUCUAUUUUGUUGGUUUUCGGAGCACGCGGGAAUGAUUAAGAGGGACAGACGGGGGCAUUCGUACUCCGACGUUAGAGGUGAAAUUCUUGGA
rnacentral:rRNA from 1 species